CACGUGUCGGGAUUCCUCACAACGGUGGAGGGAGCUUGGCCCAGCCUUGCCCGAGAUGUAUUGCGGGGGAGUCUGGACAUCUUAACCACACCGAGAGCCAGUAGGACUGCAAGCUGGAAGGUUCUGUCUGUGUGCCAACGAGGCUCGCCCUCAGCAUGGACUGGGUGCCCACCCGUCACAUCGCAGCCCGAUUGCCCCGGUCGGGAGAUCCCACCGCCUGCUGCGCGCGCGUCAGGAGGACCUGUCGCCUCAGUCGAGUCUUCAGCCUGACGUCCCCCGCCACACCUUUCAGACGUCUCUUUCUUGACAAGAAAAUAGUCUGCAUCGUUUAAAAGUUAAAAAAAAAAUGUCAGUGUCAAAUUUCCUGUGAGGUUUGAGGACCGUGUGGCUUCUGGAACGGUGUCCAGAUGUGGCCCUGGCUUUCGCGCUUUCCUGUCGUUUCGUGGAUGGAUCCGGGGCUGCUCGUGUACUCUUUUGUAAUUAAAAGACUUAUUUUUAUA